rnacentral:snRNA from 1 species
UCCAAGCGCUUGAAGCGGCA